rnacentral:rRNA from 1 species
CCUACGGGAGGCAGCAGUGAGGAAUAUUGGUCAAUGGGCUUACGCCUGAACCAGCCAAGUCGCGUGAGGGAAGACUGCCCUAUGGGUUGUAAACCUCUUUUGUCGGGGAGCAACGCCGGCUACGUGUAGCCGGACUGAGAGUACCUGAAGAAAAAGCAUCGGCUAACUCCGUGCCAGCAGCCGCGGUAAUACGGAGGAUGCGAGCGUUAUCCGGAUUUAUUGGGUUUAAAGGGUGCGUAGGCGGACUGCUAAGUCAGCGGUAAAAUCGCGGGGCUCAACCUUGCUGCGCCGUGGAAACUGGCAUUCUUGAGUGGGCGAGAAGUAUGCGGAAUGCGUGGUGUAGCGGUGAAAUGCAUAGA